rnacentral:rRNA from 1 species
CCUACGGGAGGCAGCAGUGGGGAAUAUUGGGCAAUGGGCGCAAGCCUGACCCAGCAACGCCGCGUGAAGGAAGAAGGCCCUCGGGUUGGAAACUUCUUGUAUUCGGGACGAAACAAAUGACGGUACCGAAUGAAUAAGCCACGGCUAACUACGGGCCAGCAGCCGCGGGAAUACGUAGGUGGCAAGCGUUAUCCGGAUUUACUGGGUGUAAAGGGCGUGUAGGCGGGAGAGCAAGUCAGACGUGAAAUUCCAGGGCUCAACCCUGGAACUGCGUUUGAAACUGUUCUUCUUGAGUGAGGGAGAGGCAGGCGGAAUUCCGUGUGUAGCGGUGAAAUGCGUAGAUAUCAGGAGGAACACCGGUGGCGAAGGCGGCCUGCUGGACUGCGACUGACGUUGAGGCCCGAAAGCGUGGGGAGCAAACAGGAUUAGAUACCCCAGUAGUC